rnacentral:rRNA from 1 species
GAUGAACGCUGGCGGCGUGCCUAAUACAUGCAAGUCGAGCGAACAGAUAAGGAGCUUGCUCCUUUGACGUUAGCGGCGGACGGGUGAGUAACACGUGGGUAACCUACCUAUAAGACUGGAAUAACUCCGGGAAACCGGGGCUAAUGCCGGAUAACAUUUUGAACCGCAUGGUUCUAAAGUGAAAGAUGGUUUUGCUGUCACUUAUAGAUGGACCCGCGCCGUAUUAGCUAGUUGGUAAGGUAACGGCUUACCAAGGCAACGAUACGUAGCCGACCUGAGAGGGUGAUCGGCCACACUGGAACUGAGACACGGUCCAGACUCCUACGGGAGGCAGCAGUAGGGAAUCUUCCGCAAUGGGCGAAAGCCUGACGGAGCAACGCCGCGUGAGUGAUGAAGGUCUUCGGAUCGUAAAACUCUGUUAUUAGGGAAGAACAAAUGUGUAAGUAACUGUGCACGUCUUGACGGUACCUAAUCAGAAAGCCACGGCUAACUACGUG